rnacentral:sRNA from 1 species
GCUGGGUGUGGUAGUACACACCUGUAAUCCCAGCGACUUGGGAGGCUAAGGCAGGAGGAUCACAAAUUCGAGGCCAGUCUCAGCUACUUAGUGAAAUCCUGUCUCAA